rnacentral:rRNA from 1 species
GACGAACGCUGGCGGCGUGCUUAACACAUGCAAGUCGAGCGGAAAGGCCCUUCGGGGUACUCGAGCGGCGAACGGGUGAGUAACACGUGAGCAACCUGCCCUUGGCUUUGGGAUAACCCUCGGAAACGGGGGCUAAUACCGAAUAUCCAUCUUUCAUCGCAUGGUGGUUGGUGGAAAGUUUUUCGGCCAGGGAUGGGCUCGCGGCCUAUCAGCUUGUUGGUGGGGUGAUGGCCUACCAAGGCGACGACGGGUAGCCGGCCUGAGAGGGCGACCGGCCACACUGGGACUGAGACACGGCCCAGACUCCUACGGGAGGCAG